rnacentral:miRNA from 1 species
AAUAUAGGACACCCAACUAAAUCUGGAUUUCAGAUAAACAAGUUAUUUUUAGUAUAAGGAAGUCCUAUGCAAUAUUUGGGACAUACUUAUACUAAGAUGAUUUUCAUUGCUUAUUUGAAAUUUAAAUUUAACUGUGAAUCCUGUGCUUU